GAUGAAGAACGUAGCGAAAUGCGAUAAGUAAUGUGAAUUGCAGAAUUCAGUGAAUCAUCGAAUCUUUGAACGCACAUUGCGCCCGCCAGUAUUCUGGCGGGCAUGCCUGUUCGAGCGUCAUUUCAACCAUCAAGCCCCAGGCUUGUGUUGGGGACCUGCGGCUGCCGCAGGCCCUGAAAACCAGUGGCGGGCUCGCUAGUCACACCGAGCGUAGUAGCAUACACAUCGCUCAGGGCGUGCUGCGGGUUCCGGCCGUUAAACCCCUUUUUUACCAAAGGUUGACCUCGGAUCAGGUAGGAAGACCCGCUGAACUUAAGCAUAUCAAUAAGCGGAGGA
rnacentral:misc_RNA from 1 species